AAGUCGUAACAAGGUUUCCGUAGGUGAACCUGCGGAAGGAUCAUUAAAACGUAUCCAACGUUAACCAACUGUGAACGUGUACCUCCCUCACAAGAGGAGAAGUUGUGGGCUUGCUCUAUGGCACCCCUUUUGUGAGGCUCUUCCCUUUUGCUACUCGCUACGAGUAGUAGUAGGGAGUUUUCAAUUACAAACCAUUUUCACCCCUUUUUGCUAGUUGAUUUUAUCAUGCGAUCGACUGCGAAAGCAGUUUGAUCUCACGUUUCUUAAUUGAACGUAAAUACAACUCUUAGCAAUGGAUGUCUAGGUUCUC
rnacentral:misc_RNA from 1 species